CGCUGCACCGCCCCCGCCUCCCGGCACCGCUCACCCCCCUCCCGCCGCUCCCAGACUUCCACCCCACGCUGCCAGUGGAAGGAAGGGGACCACCCAAGGAAGAGCGAAGCCUUCCUCGGUUCUUGGAAGCGUUACAGAACGGGAAGAUGAACGGAAGCGAUCCGCUCCGCGGCUUUCACAGCUCGAGGAACACCGAGCUGCCACCGCGUGGACCUGCACAGGUGGCCGCACUUCGUGCAACAGCAGGAAACCUCUCCUGAAGGGUCUGGCCUCAGGGCAGCGAAAGCAGCUACGGAAACGGGAGUUCGGAAGACCCUCCCACCCCAAAUCCCCCUUGUCCACCCUCGCUGCCCCGCGCAGCCCAGCCCUGCCAGCAGCCGCUGAUGGGCACGUCGCAACCCGCGCCUUUGCCAGGGCUGAAUCACCCUGCGCUUGGAGAGCUUCUCCCACCGUCUUUCCAAAAUCUCUGUUAGUGUAAUUUCUUCUCUGUCCCCAAAGGGCACGAAGAGCAGUUUAUUGUUGUACACUGUGGCAGUCUGUUAUAUACUGAAAGCUUUAUUCACCUCCCUUGCUUCCCUCUGCAUUUGGCAGCGCCAGUCCGCCCAGCUUGUCCCCGUGGGUCACAACACCGAGCUCCACCAUCCCUGCUGGCACGGCACAUCCACACAUCUCCCAUAGCCUCCAUGUCCCACACUGCUCCCAUAGGAGGCUGCCACUGUUGACUCAUGUACCCCAAUGGCUGAGUUUUUGCCCUAAAGAAACAGAGUUUGUCCCAGGCACGGUGCCAGCUCCCUGCUGCAUCCUGGAUCUCAUAAGAACAAGAUGCUUCCUACUGUCCGCAUUCCCAUGGGUACACUUUCUGGGCAAAAGUGAAGAAAAAACAGCAGUUAAGCCAAUGCGUUUCCUCCUUGGCCAGCCUGAUCCACCUCCUGGGGCCAACGGAGGCUAUGAGAGCCAUGAUUCAUUGUGCCCGUUUUGUAUUUGUUUCCUCUCAGUGUUGUGGUGUAAGCAUUCAAUAAAAAAUGUGGCACAUUUAAUGGGUGGAGAAAUGGCAGACCCUGGGCAGCAACAGCCAUGGGGAGGAUCUUUAAUCUCUGCUGGCACACUGCAUAUACCCAGCAACAGCUAGGAAGGUUCGGUUGUCUCAAAUUGCACUUGCAGUCAACAUUACACAUGCAAGUCUACACACAGCCCCAGCUAAAUCAAAAAUAAAAGGCGGAUCCCUUUUUGUUUUGCUGGAAAAUUCUGUGUCACUGGGUUGCAGCACAAGGAAAUAAAAUCUCACUCGAGGCCAGGAUUCUGCCUAGGGAAGGGCUCAGCACAGAGCCUGUCAGACACAUUUUCCUCACCUUCUGCCCUCGCAGGUGGUGGGUGCAGGCUGGCACCUUACUCCUGUCAGUUGGAGCAGAAUGAGGGCUGGAACUGGGCUUGCUGGCAGCUCAGCAGAGGAAUGCAUUCAGCAGCAGGCAGGUGAGAGCAGCCCCAGCCUUGCUUCUCAUGCCAUGCUUCAGUUCAUGUAAAACCAGUGCACGUCCAGCUGCAGUCAUCAUUUCCUUUGUUGUCUUCACACAGGUGAGUGUCCACAUCUAGGCAAUUAACACCCAGACAAUCCCUGUGAACGGCAUCCCAACAGGGUGAUGUAUGCUGCCGCUGGCUUUGGCUCCUUGCAAGUAGAAAAUGGGAAAGAAAAUGGGCAAAGAGGAACCUGUAUACUUUAAAGCUUAACAAAACCAGACUAUGUGAAUGACUUAUCUCCCCCAGCCUCUUGUGAUCAUCUCGCUUAAGGUCAGAAAAGCCCAUCAGCUCUGAUAACCCAGCAAACAAGGACAUCCUCUCCUGAUGAAAAGGCAGCUCUUGGAGUCCCACAGGCUGCACUACAGCAUGUGGGGAACAUGAGGCCUUUGCUGCUGCUACAGAACCUGCCAGCAGCUGAAAACCACUUUGUCAGGAGGUUAAGUUCACAGUGCAACCGCAACAUCUUUAAAUAUCUGCUGCUGCAGCAGCAGCAUCUUGCUGGAAGAGAACUCCAGUCCUGUCCACGCUGCAAGCUGUAAAGUGGCUGGGCUAACACUGAGCACAGCUCAGGUGUUCCUGGGCAAGCUGUCAGGAGCACGCAGGGACACGGAGGAUGUACUUCUCCAUGAGGACCCGUAUUUCUCCACAAGGACCUGCAGUUAAUUCUUUACAAGCUCAUUUCCUGAAGGCCAGACGUCCCACAGCCACACUGCUGGAGGAGGAGAUCAUCCCUGGGUCACAGCCAGCAGCCUGGGAGCUCAGGGAUGAGCAGGAGGGAUUCCCUUGGAUGAGAGAAGCGUUCUCCAGCCCAGGCCCGUGGCAAGAAACGCUUCCUUGCAGGGCUAUGUUUUAUUUCCCACACAUCCACAGUUCUUCAGACUAGCAGGGUUAGUGGUACCCACAUCUUUUGGGAUAACGUUCCUUUGGGACAACAAAGUCGGUGGCCAUCUUCUGAAGAUUCUUGGGUAUACAUCUUCCACAGGAAGGGGAAUGGCUCUGUGCUGUGGCAGUGAUGGCACUUCGUCCAGCUGUCGGCAGCUGCCAUCGGUGAUAUGCAAACAGAGCUACUCUCACUGCUCUGUGCUGUAACACAAAGGGCUCACUGAAGGAUUAUUUGGGUUGGCAGCACUGCCACCAACUUAUGAAAUCCUGAAAGCACAAACAGAAAGCAGUGAAGUAACACAGUCAGGAAAACACAGAAUUUCAACACAGAAAGUGCCUCCUGCAGAGAGAGGGAAGAAGCAGCAGCUCCAGCAUCACUUUACCUGCAGCUGGUGCAUGUGUCUGCAGAGAUGUAGGAGCCUGGCUGAGCUGACCGGAUGCAGGGAGGCUGAGAAACCUCUCAAGAUAUCACAUCUAAUGCCACACUGCUUCUUUUCCUCCCCCAUUGCUACCACCCUGCCUUCCCUGCCCAGGGGUGCCAGCACUGCCUCCAUCUAUGCCCAGUCUCCUACCAGCCCUCUCCUUUCUUUCAAGAAACGAAGUCAUUGUUUACCUCCUUUUUAGUGAACUAGAAACAAGCCAACAGACUUCAAAAGGCUGAGGUGUAUGCCAUUCCUCUGUGUUUCCACAAAGUACGUCUUUUUUGCAGCUUUUCCUGCUGUUUACAGCAUGGGCAGAACUGGGUGGGACCAUCCAUGCACUCAGGAACCAAAUCCUCAGCCAUGGAUGACCAGCAUCAUUCCAGCUGAACUGGUUCCACUGCAACUGCAGGCACACAACAG
ensembl:lncRNA